rnacentral:rRNA from 1 species
ACUCCUACGGGAGGCAGCAGUGGGAAUAUUGCACAAUGGGAAGCCCAUCGAUGCAGCCAUGCCCGCGCUGUGUGAAGAAGGCCAAUUCGGGCUUUGGUUAAAGACACUUUUCAGUAGGGAGGAAGGUAGUGUAGUUAACACCUGCAUUAUUUGACGUUACCUACAGAAGAAGCACCGGCUAACUCCGUGCCAGCAGCCGCGGUAAUACGGAGGGUGCGAGCGUUAAUCGGAAUUACUGGGCGUAAAGCGCAUGCAGGCGGCCUGUUAAGUCAGAUGUGAAAGCCC